GGACAGAAAUGUAUAAAGUAUGCUCCACAGAUCUCCAGGCUCAGAUGGAGUCAGCAGGAGCUUGAGGCUGGACAUAAGAGAUGUCUUGCUGGGUUCUCUUUGUGUUUCAGAAAUGGAAGAAGACCCUGGUCACACUCAAGUAAGAGGAAGAAGAUAAGGGCCUCGGUUUGGCAGGGCACCAAGUACAUUUAAAUAAGUUGAUGACUGAGGAAGCUAAACUGGCCGAGAGGUGAUGGGAAAGGUAGGAGACUUGUUAGGGGAGGAAGGGAGAAUUGAUUGUACAAAACUGCUGGGGAUGAGGGAUUAAUAAGUGAGCAAGGAAUGAUGGAACUUAUUCGUGACUGGACUUAAUUGUCAGGGGUGCUUUUACCUUUACCUUUAAUGAUAGAGGCAGAAAGAACAGUACGGAAUCAAGGGAAGAAGUUGUUUAUUUUGGCAUUUGAAGAACUGGGAUGCUGUUAAACCUAAACAUGUGUGAAUUGAUUGCUGAAACUGCAGCAGGGAAGGGUGAUUUACUUGUUAAUGAUGGCACAGGAAAACUUCUCUCCUUAUUUCAGUCAGAUGAAGGAUUUAAGAAGCAUUCAAAGGAAAUGCUCAGCCUGUUACUCUGACACCAUUUGACACAUGUAGGAGGGUUUAAAGUUUCCAUGUUUAAAUAAGGCAAGUCUUUAUGUUUCCUCUUGGGUGCAAUUUAGGGAAGUUUAGUUAACUGCCAUCCUCCUCCUAUAACUGUCAGCUCUCAGGAUUCUUUCACUCCCCCUCCCAUACUGGGCACCAGUUUCUUGAAUUCUCCAGAUUCUAGAAUGUAAGGAGGAUAGGAAAGUCCACUCCAGUGGAAAACUAAGGCUUGUGUCUUGGCAGUCCAGCUCAGCUGUCCAUAGAAGGCAGAGUCUACCAUCAAUGGGAGAUUAAAUGGAUGCUAAGAUUAGACAAAUCUGUCGAUUUCAGUUUUUCAUCUUUCCAUGCUUCAGUUCACCACAUUUUUGCAUCAGUUUGAGUUUUGCCUUGGUUUGCUUUUCAAAUCCUCACAAAAUUUUGCCAGCAUUUUAGAGCAUAUUUUGCUAAUAUGGGUGUGGUGUUUGCCCUCCUAGUUGGGUCAUAAGGAAAGGGUUAAAUGAGUGUGAAGUGAUUGGCCAGUGGGAACCCAAGGGGAGGAGUAGAGUUAGAGUUAGUGUUGUUUGGGAGUCAGUUGAGAGUUGGGAGUUGGAGAAGGAAGAGGGAGGAUAAGUCUGUGGGUUGGUCGAGUUGUGUUGUGAGAGAACCUGAUAGAAGGAGUCAGAUAUAUAGUUGAGAUAAUCAGUUUGAAGUUGUUAGGAACGUAUAGGUCAGUAAAGAAACUAAGAUUAAGAAACUGCCAAGAAAAAAAUAACUGAAACCAUAAACUUGUUCAUGCUUAUAAAAUAAACUUGAUAAUUUGUUAAUGAUAACAACUGUCUGGACUCCAUGUGUAUCCGAGAGAAACGGGUUGGUGGCAGUGGGAAAGCAAUCACAGUGGUGGCACAGGGAUCAAUAGACCGUCAAACGUCCGGGGACCCUGUGUGAUCGCCACAAUGGGUUAGAGUAAAAAUCUGCAAAUUCUGAGGUUAUUUCUUUGGGGGAGAAUGUUAUGCUGCCGUCUUUUUUGGUGAUACAAUGUUUUCUCUCUUUUUUGAGUGAUUCCCCCCCCCCCCACACACACCUGUUUGCUAACAGUCUGGAGUUUUCCCCUCCAUACUCGUAGAAGCAUUGUUUAGAGUAUCGAAUGUUGAGCAUUUUUUUGUUGAUUUCUAGGGAAUCUAGUUCCCUCCUUUUUUGUUCUAUAAGUUUAAGAAGUUUUUUUUAGCUCCUGUUUGUUUGUAGCGUGAUGAGAGGGCCGUGGUCUUGUUCUAUUUUGCUAAUUUUUGAGGAUUGUUUUUAAAGGGAUGUUUUCUUUCUUGUGCAAGCUGCUCUGAUGACUGCUUUCAUUGCAUCCCAUAGGAGGGGAGUUGUUAUAGUGUAUGUUUUGCUAAUAUAUACAUUUUUUUGCCUAAUAUGCAGAUUUUUGCAAGCCGUUUCCUCUAAUACAAUGCAUUUCUGCAUGUUAUUUUCACUAUUGCAAUAUGCUUUGGUUAGCAUACUGUUUAGAGAAGUGUGACUUGGGUAGGGUCACAUUUGGCAGUAGUGGUUAGCAUGCUGAAAAAGGACCUGGGUUCAAAUUCCCACUUGGCCAUGAAGCUCUCUGGGUGACCUUCUGUUAGUCGCUCUCAGCCCAACCUACCUCACAUAGUUGUUGUGAGGAUGAAAUGGAGUGGAUGAGAACUUUGUCUGCCAUCUUCACCUUCCUGAAGGAAAAGCAGGAUAGAAAUGUUUUAAAUAAAUAAGUAAAUAUGAAGCAAACCAAUUUUUUCCUUCCAUCCCAAACAUGCAGGCCAUAGAAGUGUUAGGAAUUAAUCAGCCGUGUACUGCAUUUUUAUUCAGUUUGUUACAAAGCACAAAAGCAAGCUUAACUUUUCUAGGGGGGUACAAAAAGGAUAAGAGCUGUAGAGGUCUUACCUAGAUGAUGGAUGAAAGCAAAAGAAAGUAAAAUGUAGGAGGAAAAAAUAAAGCAGGGGGGGGAAUAAAGAUGUUUUAAGAAAGCACUGAAAUGUGAAAACACAAGAGAGUUGAAUGUCACAUUCCAAAGCAUUUCUAUGAUAGGGUGCUGAUCAGCAAAAUAUAUGCAGAUAUGCAAUUCAGAGGGCAAUUUAGGCUGAACAAGAAGACUGGUGCCUGUAGAUUAAAAGAUGUAAUGAGGAACAUACAGAGAAAGAGGAGAAGAUAGAUAUGAAAGAAUAAGACAGUGGGGGCACUUGCAAUUAAGGACAUAAAGUUUCAGGUUAAUGCAAGAUGUGUUAGAAUUCCUCAUAUGAUCAGCAAAAGGUGACAAACCAGCAAGAUAAUUUGGAACAGGGCAAAGAGAUAGAAAGUAGAAACUGGAAGACCAACAAAAAUAAUCUUAGAAUAAUCAGUGCAGAAAAUAAUAGGAGAAGGAACUAAAGAAUUGAUACUGAGCAUAGAAAGGAAAAAGCAGACUUUGGGUAUGUUGACUGAAAAUGAGAAGAAUUGGCAAGAGCCAGGCUAUAGGGAGAAAAUGAAAGAGAAAAAUCAAAAAGAAUUCCAAGAUUUAUUGCUUGGAGAACAGAAAGCAACCACAUUGUCGAGAACAAGAGAGAGUGAUUUUGCAAAAGGAAUCAAAAGCAGUAGGAAAGACUGAAAGCUAGCAGUAUUAAGUUUGAGAAAAAAUAAAAAGGGCAUUCGUCCAAUGAGUUUAGAGAAAUCAGCAGGUAUUUGGGCAAGUUAUGAGAGGGAAACAUCAGUAGAAUAGUACUUCAUUGGCUCAGCAGUGGGGUGAAGAUCAAAUGCACUUAUUGUGGGACCAAGUGUAAGAUGUUUUAAUACUGAUCACUGAGGAACUCCUGUACAAAGGAGAAAGAUGAAGAAAGGGAUCUACAGAAAGAUUUCUUAAAGGAGAGAGAUGAUUGAAACCAUGGCAGAACAGUACCUGAAAAAGCAAGGGAAUCAUGAAAAGAAAGGAGGAGCAUCAAAGACCCAAGAACAUUUCAGAAAAAGAAGUGUGAGAACCAAAUCAGAAAAGACCAAUAAGAUAACAGGGAGAGAAGAAAGUAUAAAAUAUUGGUUGAAAAGAAUCUGGCCAAGAACUUUAGAAAGAAAGUGAAGGAGUGGGAUGAGAUGCUGGAUGAGAGAAGGUCAAAGGAUCAGAAGACUUUUAAAAAGGGGUGGAAUUGCAUAACAUUGUUGUUGUUUAGUCGUUUAGUCGUGUCCGACUCUUCUUGACCCCAUGGACCAGAGCACGCCAGGCCCUUCUGUCUUCCACUGCCUCCCGCAGUUUGGUCAAACUCAUGCUGGUAGCUUCGCAAACACCAUUCAACCAUUUUGUCCUCUGUCGUCCCCUUCUCCUAGUGCCCUCCAUCUUUCCCAACAUCAGGGUCUUUUCCAGGGAGUCUUCUCUUCUCAUGAAGUGGCCAAAGUACUGGAGCCUCAGCUUCACGAUCUGUCCUUCCAGGGAGAUAACAUAACAUACCCAGACUUAAAAGAAGGAUGGAAAAACAGAACAAUUGUUGACAUGAAAUAAAGAAAGAAUAAUGGGGCAAUUCAUAUAUUUUUUAAAGGACAGGGAUGAAGCUAUCCCACUCAACAGAAACUUUCAGAAAAGAAUUUUCUGAUACACUUUCUAAGAAUUUAGUUUUUGAGUUCCCACCAAUUGUUGAAGUUCACACACACCCAACACACAAAUAAAAUGGUGAACUUCAGUUGUACUGAUGUUUCCAUCCCAAUAUAUUUAUUGAAGGAAGUCGUGGGUUAUGCUUCUUUGGUAGAGAAGGUGAAAUGCCUCUACAGUUCAUCUUCGAAAUUCUCCGCUGAAUUUUUUUAAUUCACUUGAUGAUGAAUGGAACUCUAUUGUUAGUUUGUGUUUUUGGAUGAGAGAAGCAAUAGACUAAAGGAUGGCAAGUGGAAGGAGCUUCCUUCAACAAAAAGAAAUCUAUAUUGAAAAUUAUAUAGUAAACAGUUGUGCCUGAAAACAAAUAGGUGGUAAAACGGAGAAGGUCAUAUCACUGAAUAUUCUUUUCAAUUCUUGGAAAUUCUCCAACAAUUCAGGAGGAGCUUGGUGAAAUAUGUUUUGUUUUGUUUUGUUUUUUGUUUUUUUGAAGUCAGAAAAUCAUUUUCUGAGGCAUUUUGGCUCAUUCUAAUUCACAAAUAUUCACUGUACAUAAAUAAUGCCUGUAAAGACCUUUUAUUUUUCUAUGCAUACACAAAACCACUUAUAACAGAUUGGUGAUCCUGUAACUCCCAUUAACUACCUGGAUGUGUUCAGUAUCAGUCUGGUUAAGCUGGCGUUUCCUACCCUUACACUUUCAGCUGAUAAAACCUGCAUUCAUAUAAAUUAAUGUUUUAUACCAUACUGUAUGUUGCCUAUGGGCUCUUUACAUGAGGCAACGGGGGGGGGGAUGGCAUAAACAAACAGAAAAAUACACAGUGGUCAUUUCUUUUUCUCAGGAUUGGGUGGAUGCAUAAUCUGAUUUACUUCCCCAAAACUAAAAGCCAUCAUUUUCCACCAUCUAUUUCCAUUUAGAAAUGUUGCUCAAAGCACUGACAUUUAUAAAGCAUGUCUCAUUUCCCCUGCAACAGCAGAUGCUUGAUGAAUUGCCUAAUGAUUUGGCCACAUGCAUUCUUUAACAACGCUAAAUAAAUUGCACAGUAACAUAACCUUGAUAGCUCAAGCAUAGUGGCUUAAAAAUGAUCAGCCGUGUACAGUCUGGAAGCUUUGCAAAAUGACAUUCCAUGAACAUAAGAUCAUAUUUCACAGCUGUUAGAACAUCUACUGAAUGGCUUAUAGAGUUUCAUAAUUAAAACAGUGUUAAAAGAUGCUAAAUAGUUAGGAACCAGUUCCAUAUUUGGUAGCUUGCAAAAGUGCUUUCUACGAAGGCAGGAUUCAGCGGCAGACCUGAAAUUUCAGCGGGAUCCUGUGCAAUGCCAAAAUUUGGCAACCCUGCCUCUCAUCAUCCAUUCUACAUCAUAGUUGUGGCACUCCCCUAAAUCUGGGACUUCCGGGGUGGCGCCAUCGGCAAUGGCGGACUCCCUCUGAUCUGGAGGGACUAGCUCCGUGCGAAACGGGUCUUUUCCGCUACGGCGAAGCAGGGACCCUUUCAAAAAUCACAGGCAGAUGAAGCCUGUGACCAUGGGACUCGGCGGGCACCCUUAGCGCCCCCCCAACCCGCAAGGGAACCCACUAACGGGCUCCGAAGCGAAGAGGGGGAAGUGGCGCGGUGCUGAGAGUCAACUGCUAUUUCCGUGGAGCGAAGCCGCAUAGCUGUUGCCGGAUAGCGCUGCCUUUUUCCUGGGACAAUUUGGCUUCUAAAAUAAUCACCCGUGAGUACUUAAAUUUCGGACAAUUGGACUUUAAAUAAGGACUUGCGAGCAGAAAGGAAUUGGACUUAAAAAUUUACUUCAAUUUGGCACUGAAACAGGAAGGUCUAAACAGGAAGUCAGCCUUCCGUUUCUUUGUAGACAGAAUAAAGCAAAGACAACGUAAACUAGAGCUCAGAAAAUAGCUUCUAAAAGAUUAACUUUCAUCAUUUUAAAAUUGUUGAACCCCCCUUCGGAAGCAGGAGAAGAAGGGGAUCUUUUCGGACUGUUUAAACCUGCAGAAGUGAGUUUAAAGUAAAGUAACUUUCCACCGUCCUGAUCCUGGAGCGGGGUGUCAGGACUGACGUUUGAAGCUCAUUGACCAGAGACAAACGUUUUUGACAGAUAGCUAAAAGAAGAGAAACAUAGUGAUUCCACUGUUCCCUUUCGCAUUUUAAAGGAACAAAUAUUGACAAAAUAUCUCAGAAAGGAAACUUUGUUGCUAGAUUUGUACUUAAAAGAAAGAACAAAUAGAAGUUUUCCCCCUAGAGGGAGACUGUGAAACUGUAACUAAUUCCAGGGAGCUUGCAGCUGUUACAGAUUACAAUCGUGGGAAUAGACUUGUGACCUUGUAGGACAAUGUAUUCAGAAGCUCUGUGGUGUGCUCUCUGUAAAACAAAUGCCCUACUGGAACAGUUAAAUGAGAAGACGGAUUUGAUGACUAAUGCGGUCAGAAUUUUUGAACAGGCAGUGGGAAACUAUAUGGAGCCCACCCAGGAAUCAAAUCAGGAGUGUGCCCUGACAGAACAGAUGAGAGAAGAGGAUGUUGCUGAAUUUUGGGCGCCAGAGAUGGAGGGAGCUGUGGCCCUGCAGGAACAUGAGCUUUUGGACUUGACAAAUGAACUUGGAAAAAGCCAGAUUUGGAAAGAUAAAGUUUGGACUGGUUUGGAAAUGGGGGGUUGGAUAGACCCCCCAUUGCAGGGAUGUUUGGACUUUCCAAGUCUGGCAAUGGGCCGUGAGAUGUUUGGGGCUGUGGGGGCUCUUAAUUUUGGAGGGAUUCUGAAACAUGUUUUCAAAUACCACAUGGAGUUUAGUCUGGUCUUUGGAAAAGGGGCUGAUUUGUUGAAAAGGGUCAAAAACAUUACCAAGCUGGAGUUCCCACGAGUGAAAGGAGAAUAUGAAGAAGAGCCACGGAAGGGACAUGGAAGAGACUUAAGGGCCUCGGAUAUAAGGUUACCAGGUUAAUGCGCUAGAUCAAUGGGAUAAAAAGGACUGACAAAACCCAGGACCAGGAGGAAAGGACGCUGGAUGAAGAUUGGAUUGUUUUUAUUUCUUUUUUUUAUUAUUAGGAUUGUUUUAUAAAAUUGAUGAAUGUUAGAAAAAUGUUGGAACGAAAUUACUUGGCUCUAGCAAAAAUGUUUAAAGAAUUAGGUAAGAAUAUUAUGGUUAUGAGAAGUUGGUAAAAAUAAGAUUUAAGUUUUAAGUUUUAAGGUUUUCUAUAAGAUAAGAUGAAAAUAGAUUAAGGUAAUGUAAUGACAGAAUAUUAUGAAAUAUGGAAAGGAUUUGCUGCGAUAAUUAAUAACUAGGAUACAAAAAAAGGGAGGAGGAGGAGGUCAAAGAAAGAAGGUAAUGAAAGUUGAGGAUUCGAGAAUGAUGGAUUUGUUUUUAUCUGUUUGUGGUAUAUUUUUGUUUUUUGAAUCUGCAUUGUUUGAUGUGGUUUGUUUUCUCUUUGUUUUCUCUUUUUUCUUUUUCUGCUGUGUUUUUUUCUGUAUUUUUUUUUAAUAAAUAUCAUUUUAAAAAAAAAUCUGCUUCUGCAAGAUUAGACAAAACAAUUGUCUGCAACUGCGAAGUACUCAUGAGUUACUUUUUCUAUUGCAUCCCAUAACAAACCUUUAUCACAACAAGUUACACCACUGAGAAACAUAGCUGACUUGAUCUUCUGCACAGCUUCUAUAAGACUUUAUCCUCUUUUUCAUACAACUGACAAACAAUUACUUUAUGGUGAAGGUUGGCUUGUUGCCUAUAGACACUAAAUAAUAUGUGAGUUAUAGCUAAAUGAAUUUUCUGCAUCAGUAGGAAUCAGUUAAUGUCCUCUAAAGCAACAUGGACCUUUUAGCUUCCAAAUAGCCACAGUUGCUUUAGGAUUGUAGUAUGAUGCACACAUGCUUGAGAACAUGCUCUGUUGAACCUAAUGGGACUUAUUUCUGAGUAAAUAUGAAUAGUAUUGGAUUGUAAGAUACUAACUGCAUGAUCCUACUCAGAAAUAAGCCUGCCUUUGUGGGAGUUAUUUGCAGGUAAGGAUGUAUAGGAUUACAGAUUAAUAUGGAUUAUAUUAUUAUAUAUGGUUCCCUUUACCUUUACCUAUAAUCAGCUUCAACUUUCAUAGGGAAAACACACCCUGAAAUCGGACUGCAAAAUUAUGCAGCUCAUUACUUGCGUAUAGUGAUCCAUCAGUGGCUAUGUAGAUUUCCUGGUUUUGCUGCUCAAAUAAGAAAGAAAAAUGGGCAUUGUUGAAAAAUUGACCAUGGCAGAGUGCCUAGAGUCAAAAACAAAGGCUCUGGUGCCUUUGAUAUUUGUUUACAUCAGGAAACUUCAGAAGCUGCUUCUUUCAUGGCAAAUCGUAUCUGCUUAAAUUCCUUCUUCUUUACAAAGGUGCAUCAUCCCUGUCCUCUUCAGCAUCUGGCGUCUCGUAAUUUGAGCCCAUGCAUAGUCUAAGGUAGGGUUAGUCAAUAGGUGUCACCCCUCCAGAAGUUGUGAAUGACAACUGCUGCAACCCUGACCAUUCCAAUGCUGGUUGGAGCUGAUGGGAGUUGGAGUCCACAACAUCUACAAGGCACCACAUUGGCUACCUUCUGAUCUAAGGACAUUGCAACACUGUAGAUCAAACACUGUACUCAGGGAAAUCUGUCUCUCUGUGGGGAUUAUUUGGACUUUGUGGGCCACAAGCCCUGGGAUAGCUAAAUGACAACUAAAUGUUGGAAACAAUGGUCAGUUCAUGUUAGGGCUGGACACAUCUGUCAUAUUCUCUCUCCCCCCCCCCAAUCUUCAGCUGAAGUUUCCACAUCUCUGCAUCAGUUUGUUUUAUUUGUUUUUAAAUAAAAAGUGUCACCAGCAUUUUAGUGAAAAUUUCUCCCGAUGUACAUAUUUUGUAUGCAAUUUUACCUCAUGUAUGGUUUUUUGAAAACCGUUUCCCUAAUAAAAUGGAUUUUAUGUUAUUUCCCCUAAUAUAUGAAUUUUUGUAAACAUUGCAAAAAUUGUGUUUCAUUUUGCAUAUUGUUUUGGGAAGUGUGAAUUGGGUUGUUGUUGUUUGUUGUUUAGUCGUUUAGUCGUGUCCGACUCUUCAUGGCACCAUGGACCAGAGCACGCCAGGCACUCCUGUCUUCUACUGCCUCCCGCAGUUUAGUCAAACUCAUGUUAGUAGCUUCGAGAACACGGUCCAACCAUCUCAUCCUCUGUCAUUCCCUUCUCCUUCUGCCCUCAAUCUUUCCCAACAUCAGGGUCUUUUCCAGGAAGACUUCUCUUCUCAUGAGGUGGCCAAAGUAUUGGAGCCUCAGCUUCAGGAUCUAUCCUUCCAGUGAGCACUCAGGGCUGAUUUCUUUUAGAAUGGAUCGGUUUGAUCUUCUUGCAGUCCAUGGGACUCUCAAGAGUCUCCUCCAGCACCAUAAUUCAAAAGCACCAAUUCUUUGUCGAUCAGCCUUCUUUAUGGUCCAGCUCUCACUUCCAUACAUUCCAUACAUAUGGGAAAUCCAUAGCUUUAACUAUAUGGACCUUUGUCGGCAAGGUGAUGUCUCUGCUUUUUAAGAUGCUGUCUAGGUUUGUCAUCGCUUUUCUCCCAAGAAGCAGGUGUCUUUUAAUUUUGUGACUGCUGUCACCAUCUGCAGUGAUCAUGGAGCCCAAGAAAGUAAAAUCUCUCACUGCCUCCAUUUCUUCCCCUUCUAUUUGCCAGGAGGUGAAUUGGGUAGGUUCGCAUUAAAAUCCAAACCAAACAAAAUUUCAUCCCAUGAUGGUUAGCGUGUGUGAAUACGUUAUUACAAAGCAAUCAUCACCAUCCAUUGUCUUUUGUAUCCACUCAAAACACAAUGCUUUUCAACAGAGUUGAUGAUUACAAUUAUUUCUAUUCAGCUGUGAAUCGUCCUGUGUUUAAAGAUCAAAUGAUAAGAUGAUUUCUGCUAGGAACUGGGUUUGAUCUAGCAGCUGAACCUGCCUUGCUUAAACCCAUUGUUUAGAAAAACGUAUUGAAAAAUAAAUGAACACAAUGCUUUAGCUGAACUAUAUCUGGCCACUGUGGAAUAGAUAAUUUUCAAAAUUAGCAAAGUGGCAGAUCAGCCAUCAUAUAUAGCAGGGAUGACAAAUGCACAUUAGAAAGUUCAACUUAAAGUAUCCUGUAGCAUAAUUAAUGCAGGAUGUGUUUGGUGAAGAGUAUUUUAAAAAGAGAAUUAUGUGAAUGGUGUCCUUCAACUUAAGCUAUUGUAUCAGUGACCUUGCUUUUAACAUUUGCUGCAGAAAGCCAUUAACAUGAAUUAAUGGAAGUUCCAAUGUCAUUCAAAAACACUCUUCACCCCAUUCCCAGAAAAGAAAGUACAGGAAGUCUUUAGGGGUGACUAUGGGGUAACAUUAAAAAAUAAAGAAAUGUGAGAUUUACUUCAUUAAUUCUUUUUCUACUUUUUUUUUUUUGCUCCUGAACUGGCAUCACUGGACUCUUGAACUUGUAUUUGAUCACAGAAGAAGCUCAGAUAAGUAUUCAUAUAUACAGGAGCUAAGAUAAUGGAGUGCUAAAUGUUGCAGGACUCUAAAACACAGAAACCAAUUUAACUGUUUUAGAAUCAAGGUUUUCCCAUGUGCUGUUGUUUUUUCUUUCCUAUACUGAGAACAAAUUUUGGACAGUUUCCCACACCAUCUCAUUGAUCUGUAAGGUAGGGAUAUUCCUGGGGAGUUAUAGAAAUGUUACUGCGGCAGUAUUAUGUACAAGCAAUCCUUUAAAAAAUAAAAUACACUUCCAUUACCAGAACUGCAGUGGAGAAGAGGGCAGGCUUUUGACCAUAUAAUUGUAAUUCUAAAUUCAACUAAAAAACCUUGUGAUUUGGCAAAGUAAUUUUAGGCCCUUUAUUUAAUAGUUUUAUGGGAUUUAAACAAGAAUGAGGGUAACACGGUAUACAACAGUGUUGUUUUACAUAGAAUGUAACUGAUCUGUAGAAAAGUAUCACCUGAAAGAAGAGACAAUGCAUUAACUUUUCUAACACAAGAAAAUCUUUAAUAUUUUUUUUUCAAGAAAACAAUAAAUGGCAAUAUUUUAGGGAAAGUUUAGAAUGCCAACUAGGAGUUAAGCAACAGAGUUACUAAGCAGUGAGCUGAAGAGAGAACAACAACAUGUAAACUAAGGAAGAAGCAGGAUCAGAAAAUGCUGCUGUCUGUUUUGAAGGCAAAGCUGUGCCUAUGGGAGAAGCCAGAACCUCUUGGAAUUUAAUGCUGGAGAUCCCUCCAUUGGAUUCAGGUUGUAUAUAUCUGUAAAUAAGCCACAUAUCAUAAAGACACCACAGUCUCUGCUGUAUCUCAUUGUCCAAAAUUGGAAUACAGUCCUUGGUAAACAUGCCUUGUACCCCUGGAAUCUCAUGCCACAUGGAGAUUGAGGUGGCGUGUAGCAAUGUAAACAGUUUCUUGGGGAAUGGCCUGGGACUCCUACUUUGACUAGUAGGGCAAUCUUAUGAACUGCGGGGGGAAGUACUUUCUUUCCCCCAAGCUGAAAACUGUCACAUUGAAACGGCCCAUCAGAAUGUUGCCAUUUGGGCAUGGGCAUAACAUCACAGAAGGUUGAAGUUUUUUCUCCAUUGACAGUACAUAGGAAGCUACCUUAUAUGCAUACUAUCUCUUGCUUUUUCCUGUAGGACUAAUUGCAGUCGUUUACAGUUAUCAACAGGUUUCCCAUACUCACUGAGUCAAUCACCCAUCUCCUACUACCCUUCUGAGAAAAAAACCCACCCCACCCUCCCACUAUAUAUAAGGGUCUGGUGACUUCUGUUUCAGUGUAUCUGAAGAAGUGUGCAUGUGUAGCCUUAUUGGAGUUCACCAAUUGGGUCUGCGUUGCUCCCAGACAGGAGGAAGGAAGUCAAAUGACACCGAGGGUUGGUUCAGAGAAAGAGUUCUUUAUUUCUGCUCUCCGGAACAGCAGAAAGGCACCUGCGUGGUGUGUCCACAGCAAGUCCAAAGAAAUGAGAAAUUUCAUGCAGUAUAUAUAUCCUCCAGGCACCCUCUCCCUCCUUCCCCAGGAAUCCAACCACGUCAGCCUAUACACGUAGGUUGACAUCACAUAUGUUCCUGCUCCGGUAUUCUUAACCAUAAAAGGGUAUUCCUUCCUGUACUUCUGACCAUAAAAGGUUAUUCCUUCCUGUACUUCUGACCAUAAAAGGGUAUUCCUGUUCCUACUCUUAUCUUGGAGCAAGAGGUCACCAACUCCAAGAACACACUCUGGCCCUGUUCCCGGAUUAGGUCUGUGCGUCAGGACGUAAGAUAAGACCUAGAUAUGUCAUCCCUACUCCACUGAAACAGCCAAGGUCAUCCUUGCCGUCACGAACUGAUAAAGGAGAGGGCUCUGAGCACUUGUUUAUACAGCCGGGUUUUUGUUUAUACAUUGACUCAGAGCUCAAGUUAAUGGAUUUUAGCUAAGGAAAAAUAGGGAUUUUGGUGCCCUUUUCAAACUGCCUGCACAGUCAGUUUUGGGUUUGGGAAACCCAUUCCUUCACAUGCACAAGAAAGCUUAUACCCAGAACAAACUUAGUUGAUCUCUAAGGUGCUACUGGACAAUUUUCUUUUCUUUUUUCCAUUUACUCCCAAAUUAUCCUCAAUUGACUGCACAGCUGGCAUCUGCUACCAUGGGAUUGGCAGUUUGCCAUGGCGGCUGCGCCGGAAGUCAAACCUGGAAUCUUCUUUACGCACUGCAUGUGCUCUACUACUGAGUCCCUCUUCUCUGCCUUCCAGGCAAAACAUAUAUUGAAUGGUUUAAGCCAGUCUUGUCCAAACUGAUGACCUCUUAAUGUUUGGGACUGCAACUCUUAUGAGUCCUAGCCAUCAUGGUGAGUGGUCAGGGAGAGUGGGAGUUGUGGUUCAAGGCAUUUAGAAGGCACCAGAUGAGGGAAGGCUGGUCUAUUUAAGAAAAGAUGCAAAUUUAUGUAUUAAACGUGAAUAGUACUUUUGAGCACCCUCAAUCUGACCUUCAUGGCUACAUGCAGUGCCAAUGCCACAUCACAGUUUGUAUAUUCCUUGGUACGCUAUGUGUAAAGCUCUUGUUUGCUGCUGCAGCAAAUUUUCAUAGUGUAGGGGAACUUUGCAUCUUAAGCCUAGGCAAAUGUCUAUAUAUUUUGAGUCCAUUAUAUAAAUGGAGGAUUCCCAUAGAAAAAGAAAUUACUUAUCAAGGAUAUGAUGCAUGAAGAAUGAGAUUUGCCGAUCAGUAAAAUGUAAGCAUUAAAACAGCACAAGAGAAGCCAGUGUGAUUAAGCCAAACUGUAAAGAGACUAAGAAAAAAAGAUCAUUAGUGGCAUGAAGAAUUUAGUAAAUAGGAUGAUGGGACAGAUUUUGUGAAGGAGCUGAAGCCAGCAAAAUAGAAUAAUUAGAAACACUACUACAAAUGAGUGUUAAAAUGGUAAGCAUCUUAGCAAUAAUUGCUUCAAGAGGAUGCUGAAUAUGGGUUGUGUGCAUAGCGAGUGCUUUCCUUUUAGAACUGAGGAGAUAAAUUAGAACUCAAAGAACACUUGGUGUACAUUUCUCCCCCUGUCACUUGGAUCUUAUGGAGUGCUUCGGUCCUUAUGAUCUGCAUUUUGUAGAUUUUAUGCUCCAAAGCAAUGCAUUCUGAUUAUUCUUGAGAUGUCUACAUUAAUUCUACUGCUGACAAUAUGCAAAAAAAAAAAAAAAAGCUUAGGCAAUGACAAUACAAAUGUACAACAGUGUUGCAUAUUCUUUCCUCAUCAAAUCUGCUUCAGGUUUUGGUGCCCUGAAGCAGAAGAGUGUUCUCUGCCUGCCUGCUUCUGUAACUAUCUGGACCUUUCAGAAAAUCAGGUUUGCUAUUUAUUCCAGCUUAAUGCUAAAGAGGCAGGAGAAAACCCUUUAGACCCAUGCUUUCUAGGCAUGAGACAAACAGAAGUAUGGACAAUCCCUGUCAGACCAUUGAUUUGUUGAAGUAAGAGUAGGGAAAUCACAACUAAGAAGCUCAAAUCAUGUAUAAAAACCCCAACACCCUUUUUUGGAAAUUAAUGCCCCGGCUUUAACAUUCAAAAGCUUUACUUGCAUAAUAUUUACAGUCACAUGCUUCUCUCAGCAUGGGCUUACAGUCUCUUCCAAACAAAUGUAUUUUCCUCCCUUUCCAGAGCUCAGCACUUUCAGCCUUCUGUAUCUCAGGCCAUGCCUUGGAGCUCCUAUGAGAAAUUUCCACCUUUACCUUCUCCUGCAACUUUGCUCUCUUUCUUUCAAGCAGAGAAGAAGCACUCCAACACUCUAUUCAACAUUAGCAGUGUUCACAGUGGAUUCCAAAACAGAGUCACAUUGCUUCACAUAAAAUGGAGUCUCUCCUUCACUAGAUAGGUGAAGGUAAAGAUAAAGGACCCCUGGAUGGUUAAGUCCAGUCAAAGGCAACUAUGGGGUUGCGGCACUCAUUUCACUUUCCGGCCAAGGGAGCAGGCAUUUGUCCACAGACAGCUUUCUGGUUCAUGUGGCCAGCAUGACUAAACUGCUUCUGGUCCAAUGGAACACCAUGACAGAAGCCAGAGAGCAUGGAAACGCUGUUUACCUUCCUCAUGCAGCAGUACCUAUUUAUCUGCUUUCGAACUGCUAGGUUGGCAGAAGCUGUGACAGAGCAAUGGGAUCUCACCCCAUUGUGUGGAUUCGAACUGCCAACCUUCUGAUCAGUAAGCGCAGGAGGCUCAGUGGUCUAGAUCACAGUGCCACCCACGUCCCUCUUAAAAAUAAAGCACUAAUGUGUCUUUAUAAGUACACUUCUCGCUUAGCUUCAUGUGCUUGUCUUACAUUCCGAGGUCUUUGGCAUAAGACUCCCCGUUUCCCUAACAUCCUAUAUGUUGGCUUUAAUUAAUGUUGUUAUUUGUUCCUGCUCUUUUGUGUUCAGGUCCCUCACCCAAGCCCUGAACUUAUGACCCUACAUUACAUUGACCAUCAUGAAGAAAUCAGCUCUGAUUCAAGAUGCUCUGCUGUUAACUGUGUGGGCUACUCCCUGCAAAUAAGGACAUGACCUCUCCAUGUUGGUGUUAGAGUUUGAUCUCUGUGGUAGGAUGGAGGUAGAGGGUGUAUGUGUGAUUGCUGGAGAAAAACAUGUUCCAAAGUGUCUAGGCCAGGAAAAAACCUCAGCAAGGAAUAAAACAAGCUUCAGGGAGCUGAAUUUUCUUUUAAAGUAAAAACGCAAUGAACAUGAGAUUGUCUGUUAGAGGAAACAGUCCCUUGCGGACCAGGUCUUUUAAUGAACUCAGAUAUCACUCAGUGUGGUUCAUGUCAACUGAAAAAAGUGAGCUUUAUUGAUUUUCUUGAGAGCAAAUGUCCUUUUGUAUCUUAGCAGACUGCUUGUCUCCAUUGGAGACAGUAAAAUGCCUUUUAGGAAUAUAUAGAGAAUUUAUUUGCUUUGGCUGUAGCCCAAUCCUGCAAGAUUGUUUGGUAGUCCCAUAACUAUGGCUUUCCUAUGGACCUUCCCUCCUGUAAUGUUGGGGAAGCAGUUUUACACACAUGGUUAGGCCUUGGUUGCAACCUAAGCCCUUAGUGUCCUCAACGCAGGGCAGACUCAGAAGUCAUUGUAAGCUCAAGAUGAAAGUGUCAGUAUUUUCAUUCUCCCAUUGCUGAUGUAACAUGAUAUACAUGUUUACAUUUCUGUACUGUUAUGUCUGGGAACGGAAGUGAACUUCUGUAACUUCCGUUCUUUCUUCUCUUGGUCUCCACUCUCGGACAGAGAAGAUGUGUGUGAGACACUCAGCUCACACUACCCAUGUUUGGUUGUUUUAAUUCACUGUAAAUAAUAAAGAAAUUCAGAAUGCCCCAUAUCUGAACAGUCUGCUACCUGCUGCUACUCUGCUGCAGCCCAGAGGGAGGUUAUUAUACCUCCCCCUGCACAUGGGGGACUGCCAGUAGAAAUUGGCACUGCCUUUAGUUGUCAUGGUUGUAUUGCCCUUUGCAACAUCAUGGGGCUAGCUUUGAACCAAUUUGUAGAUAAUUAAGCUACAAUACUAAACAAAACUGUUGGUCUCAGAGCAUGGUCUGAAGACACACAAUGGUGUAACCUUGCUAAAGCUAGCAGAUCUUGAUGUGGUCCCUGCCUGGAUGGCAGACUCCUAGGGAAAUACAUGUAUGCUACCAUGAAUUCUAUGAUUGAAGAAUGACAAAUUAUGAAUGAACUAAAUAAAUAGGAGUAAAUCUCACCAUACUCAGUGUUAUUGGAAGUGAGACAAUCCAAGGUGGGUGCAUUCCCUGCUCUCUCUACACAAGUAUUCUGAUCCCCAAGUUUUAUUUCCUAUUGUGCUCCCCAUUUAUUUCUACCAACUCUCAUUACACACCCCAUGAAUCUGCUAUGGUCAUUUUGAGAACAAUUGUCCAGCCUCACUGGUCUAUUGAUAUAGGUACUUAUCUUUUACUAUGAAAUACUAUUGGCAAAUGCUUCCAUUAUGCCUUUGGAAGCCUGUCUCUCUUAAGUUGUAAUAAUGUGAGGUGAAUGAACUCCGCACACAAUAUCUUCUUGUGCAAUCAGAAUCAGGCAGUCUUCCUUUAUACCUCAUUAAAAGAUUAAUCAAGGACUCAGAGUGUAACCUAGUGUGUCAGUUCCACAGAUACACUCCUCCCCACCUUUAACAAUUGAAUAAUAAAGCGCAAAAACCAAGGCUUACAGUGGAAGCUCUGAGUGACCUUCUACUUAAAAGAGUGGUAUUGGAGGCUCCAAGAAUCUAAUUGCCAUGGUGAUUUUAAAAUGGCUUCAAUUUGAAUUGCCUGGUGACAUAUUGUACUCUGUGAUCAUUUUAAAGUUUAAUCAGAACAGAUUGUUUCCUGUUAAGUGCAAGAUAGCAUUAUUUUUCUUUUUAAAAAAACAACAGCAACCCCAUAAUACUCCUGGAAGCUUGCUUAUUAUUUAUGUAUUUUGCAUGCUCCUUUUUCUAAAUUCAAGCCGAUUAUUCAUGAGCAUAAAUAAAAACAGACAAAAUAUACAAACAUAGUGCAAUAUAUAAACAUUCCACAGCUUACUAAUAAAAUUCAAUCCAAUAUGGGGAAAUCCUAUGGCAAGAUUUGAAAGGAUGAGAGUUUAAGAUACAGCAGAUCUAGAGCUCAGAUGGCUGAUUCUCAGCUUGCCAAAGAUACACAGACAUAACUUAGGGUUGCCAUAUUUCAAAAAGCAUUUUUUUUACAAAAAAAUUACCUUUGAAAUCCCGGUAAUGUCUGGGAAAAUGGCAGCCCUAACACAACUUGCUCAUCCUGUCUUAACUGGGGCUCAGCUGGCCAAGGCCAAUGUAAGUAUGAAAAAAAGGCAUUCCAGGACCAUGCAUAGCUGGACCAGAGAAGGUGAACUUAGGCUGAAUCCUAAGCCUGUUCAGCUCAGUCAUGUGACAGAGCAACCCAGCAUAGAAGACUGUUUUAAAGGCUAGUUUUCCCUCUAUCAAGAUUAGACAGAAAAACAGAAGCCCUACUGCUGAGCAAAGUUUGGUUUUGGUGCGAACACAUUGCUUGUACUGCCCUAAAUCUACCACUGUGAGGAACCUUCUGGGGCCCUGUGACGUUAAGGGUGGUUGGUUGGAGUGGGUGUGAAUUGGAAUAGAGUCUGUGCGUAGGUUGAGUUAGUGUAGCGAAAUAAGAUGAGUCAGGAAUAGUUAGGAGCUAGGAAGACAAGUAAAUAUAUGAUAGGUGGUUUAGUGAGGGAGAGCAGGUAAUGGAAGUUAUAGGUCUGGAUAGGCACCCUAUGAUUGUAAUUGACCGAUACCAUUUAUGAAACCACACGCUUGUUAAACUGCAAUAAAUAAACAGAAGUUUAUGUUCCAAUAUAAACCUGACUGGACUCAGUAUUGUACCAGGUAGGGCCUGGGUGGUGGCAGUGAGAAAUAAAGUGGUGGCACAGGGAUCAAUAGACGGUGAAACGUCCGGGGACCCUGUGUGAUCGCCACAGGCCCAGGAAUGGGGGAAGGGUUUGUCAAAAUCAGACUUCACAGCAUAUUUGCCUGAUUUAUUCUGGGCAACUCAUGAAACAGAUUGGAUUAUGGAUUCACUUCCGAGAGUUGUGUGCUGCCUCCAUUUCUCAAAAGUGGAGCAUCUCCACCUCCAUCAUCCAGCCCGGACACUGAGAUUCAGCUCUGAGGGCUUUCUGGUGGUUCCCUUAUUGUGAGAGGUGAGGUUGCUGGGAACCAGGCAGAGGGCCUUUUCAGUAGUUGCACCCACCCUGUGGAACGUCCUCCCAGCAGAUGCCAACCAGAUAAACAGUUUGGUUUUUAAAAGACAUUUGAAGGCAGCCCCAUUCAGGGAAGUCUUUAGUAUGAUGUUGUGUUGUGUUUUUACUGUUGUUGUUGUUUGUUAGGAGCUGCCCAGAGUGGCUGGGACAUCAUAUAAAUAAAUUAGGAUUAUUAGGAUUAAGAUUAGGAUUCUUACCACUGUGUGCUCUGAGUGCACUUACAGCAAGUCCCUUUGGAAAUGAUGGGACAUACUUAGUUCUGGGUCAUUUAUUUAUUUUUAAAAUGAACUUUUUAAAGAUGGGAAGGCUGGCUUGUUUUAUUCCUCACUGAGUUUUUUUGCUGCCCUAGACACAAUUUCAGUGGGCCCCCAACAAUUGUCCAACUAUGAUAGGUGCUGAUGCAACACACAAACUUCAAACAACAAACUAUAGACUCAUAGGCACAUACUACUGGCAAUUCACAAUUUCUAAUGAAGAGGAAGGUAAAGGUAAAGGGACCCCUUACCAUUAGGUCCAGUCGUGGCCGACUAUGGGGUUGCGGUGCUCAUCUCUCUUUAUUGGCUGAGGGAGCCGGCGUACAGCUUCCGGGUCAAGUGGCCAGCAUGACUAAGCCACUUCUGGUGAACCAGAGCAGUGCAUGGAAACUUUGAAGUGCUUUAGAACUGCUAGGUGGGCAGGAGCAGGGAUGGAGCAAUGGGAGCUCACCCCGUCGCGGGGAUUCGAACUGGUGACCUUCUGAUCGGCAAGUCCUAGGCUCUGUGGUUUAACCCACAGCGCCACCUGUAUCCCAAUGAAGAGGAAACCCAUCUUCUAAUGCAGAGAAAUUUCAAAAAAAUUCUUUGGUUCCUAAAUUUAGAAAUUGCUAUGAUUUUUCAACUCACCUCUACUGAAAGCACUUUAGCAGAUAUUAUGUGGACCAAGAGCAAUAAGAUCCAGCCUAAAUACAGCUACACAGCAUUUAUAUGGCUCACUUUAGUUAGCCUAUUGGAAAGGGAGUUUGGGAUUUUAAAGCUACAGCAUCAUAUGAAGCUCUUGAGACUGUGGCCUUUUGAUUAGAUUUCUAGAAAGCUUUCAGCUGGAGACAAGUAAAUCAUUUCUUCUUCUUUUUUUAAAGCCAGCAAUGAAUUAGGAGUGACCUGACUGACCCAAGAAGAUAUGGAGCACUGUCAAGAAAGAUACUAUUUGUAAAACCCCAUCAGUCCUGCUGAUAAUUAAAUGUGCAGAACUGGGGAAGAAGUCGAACAGGAGCCAAGAAAUGGUAGAGCAGUAGGAGGAGAAAGUCAGGGAUGGGAAGGCACAGAAAGCAAACUUGGACUAUGGUGGUUCUAAAAGAGUGAGGGAAUUAAUUAAAAGAUACCGGUAAGCUUUCAUUUGGCUUAUAAAUAAAACACUGCUGGAGCAGAGUGUGUGUCCCAUGGCACGUCGUUUGGCGUCCCUCUUGUUUUGUUCUGAAAUUCAGUUAAAUCUAGAGGCCUGCUGCCAAAGCAAUAUUUGAAAGCAAUACAUCAGGGAUGGGGGACCCUCAAUUCCACAGGAGUUAUGGAGCUACAACCCUUAUCAUUGGAUGGGGGCUAUCUUGGCUGGAGCUGAUAGCAGUUGGCGUUCAUCUGGAGGGCCACAAGUUUCCAUCCCUGAAUUAUUGGUACCUUAGCUCUUGACAAUACAGAUCCCUUCUCUCUAGCCAAUGUGAUGCCCUUCUCUCUAGCCAAUGUGAUGUCCAAUGCUGGACUGCAAUUCCCAUCAGCCCCAGCUAGCAGAGACAAUGUUCAUGGAUUAUUGGAACUGUAGCUGACCAUCUUUAUGGUACCAUAAAGAAGGCUGAUCGCCAAAGAAUUGAUGCUUUUGAAUUAUGGUGCUGGAGGAGACUCUUGAGAGUCCCAUGGACUGCAAGAAGAUCAAACCUCUCCAUUCUGAAGGAAAUCAGCCCUGAGUGCUCACUGGAAGGACAGAUCGUGAAGCUGAGGCUCCAAUACUUUGGCCACCUCAUGAGAAGAGAAGACUCCCUGGAAAAGACCCUGAUGUUGGGAAAGAUGGAGGGCACAAGGAGAAGGGGACGACAGAGGACAAGAUGGCUGGAUAGCGUUUGUGAAGCUACCAGCAUGAGUUUGACCAAACUGCGGGAGGCAGUGGAAGACAGAAGUGCCUGGCGUGCUCUGGUCCAUGGGGUCAUGAAGAGCAACAACAACAGCUGACCAUCAUCUGGAUGGCACCACACUGACUACCACUUCUCUAACUCAUUUCCUCUCCCACUUCACCUCCUUCAUAUCCCCACUUUGUCCUUCCUCUCUGUCUUCUGAACAACUUGAUUUUCUAGCCCUCCUUUCCUAGCCAUAUAGUUUCCAAUAGCCUGGAGACUUCUCUGGCUGCUGCUCCCACUUCAACCAAAGAAUGACACAUGUCAGGUGGACUGAUACCUAUUGGGCAAGAAAGCUACGAUGUUAGAAGGAAACACAGCUUAUCCUGCAUCUUUGCAUUGUCCACCAUUGUCUAAAACUAAAACUUCUCUUUUCUCAGGGCCAGUGGGCUGUCAAGUAAAUCUGUAAAUGCACCCAGCAGCUUGCCAGUGUCACAGGAAGGGGCCCAGUGUUACAGGAAGCCUUGCAUAUGGUGUCUGAGUCAAAAGAAUUACAAGUUCUUCCAGCUACUAAAAAGGCCAACCUGCAGACUUCUGAGGCUGCUAGUUUUGGAACUACUUACUAUUUAUUUUGUCAAAUGGUUGCAUCUCUCCUGUGUGUAUAGCCUGAGGCUUCUGCCACAAUCAGUUGCAAUGCAUUUCCAAGUGUUGUUGUUUUUUUUCUGAGCUGCAUUUGUUUGUUGUGAUGAAACUGGGUGGUUCCAUAGCUUGAUGAUAAAACACAUGCUUUGCAUGUCUAAGUUCCUAUGUUAACUCACCAGCUAGUGAACUUACCUAAUCAUAGGAGCCAACUCCUAGGGGUCAAUGGGUCUUCACCCCCUCUAAAAUAUUUGAGCCCCCCUCCCCAGUUGAUAGGCAUUGUCAUUCAAAUGGUGUGCAUGCAUAUAGUUGUGUAUAAUUGAUAAUGGAAUCAAUUAUGUGGGGUGGGGCUUACCUGGACCCCCCAAUAUUUUAUUCAAGUUGGUACCCCUGUACCUAAUCAUUAGACUUUAUAGGCAGGAAGCAGGCCAAGCCGAGCACUUUAAGGUCCUUCUGGUAUAAAGAGGCCAAACUAACUCUUCCCCUGAGAUAAUGGGUCCUAGAAGUGCUUUACUUUGGCUGGAUUGUAACCAAGCUGGCGAGAUUAGGUGGGUGAUAAAGAAAAGACUGUUGUUUGAUGUGCUGUAUAACAGGGAUACAGAACCUGUGGUCCUCCAGAUAGCUGAUGAAGUACAGCUCCCAUCAUCCACGAAGAUUUGCAUGAGUGGGAGUCAGAAUGCAACCACAUCGGGAGGGCCACAGAUUUCUUUUCCAUGAUGAUUUGAUCACAACAUUUGUAAUGACAUAUUCAACAAUUGUUUCAUUUUCGGUGUGAUUAUAAAGGGCAGUGUGUGCUAUUAUUUGUUUAUUUAUUUGUCUGACACCCCCCCCCCCAAAUUACAUGUUCGGAAUGGAAAAUCCAAGAGUUAGACACACACAGAGAGAGGGGGGGUUUGCAGGUUUUGUUUCAUUUCCCCAUUCAACUUGUCCCUCUUGCUUGUCUUCCUAAAGCAAGGGUAGGCAACCUAAGGCCCGUGGGCCGGAUGCAGUCCAAUUGCCUUCUCAAUCCAGCCCAUGGACGGUCCAGGAAUCAGUGUGUUUUUACAUGAGUAGAAUGUGUCCUUUUAUUUAAAAUGCAUCUCUGGGUUAUUUGUGCGGCCUGUCUGGUGUUUUUACAUGUGUAGAAUGUGUGCUUUUAUUUAAAAUGCAUCUCUGGGUUAUUUGUGGGGCAUAGGAAUUUGUUCAUCCAUCCCCCCCCCAAAAAAAAGUCCGGCCCCCACGGCUGAAAAAGGUUGCUGACCCCUGUCCUAAAGGAUGCUUUGCAUAGAAGAAAAAGUGGAACCAAAUUGCUACACAGAAGAUAUUCUGAUAAUGUUUGACUCCUGUUAAACUGGGUUAGGAACACAGACGGCUGUCUUACUGAAAGUCUAUUGGGCCAUCUACCUCAGUAUUGCAAACACUGAUUGACAGAGAUUGAGACAGGAAUCCACUCCGGAUCUGCCUGUAAAUGCCAGGGAUUAAACCUGGGACUUUUGCAUACAAAGGAGGUGAUUUAUUACUGAACCAUAGCCCUCUCCAAAUUCCACUUGCAUUUCAAAAGACUCAGGUAUUCACAUCUAGAGGAUUUUGCUCAUGUGACUUUGGUGUUUUUCAACUUCAAAAUUUGUACUCUUACAGUGAAUUGCAUGCAGCUCUGGAUAGUUCCUUGACAUUCAAAAUACAUUUGGGGGAAUAUAUUGGGAUGUGGUAGAAAGAGGGCCUGAAGCCUUUUGAUCCCAGCCCCUAUGAAGCCACUCCAUUAUAAAUUGAAGAAUGCUUUGUGAUUAAAAAAUUGACAACAGCCUUGGCUAGUGUGGAAGGGGAAAUAAUGAGGUUACCUUCAGGCAGCACAAGUGGAUUCCUGGUUGUGCUUUGAAUCUUGAAAGUAUUUAAUUUUUAACUCCUAUACAUGAGUUAUCAACCCCAAACUGCAGUGCUGCCUCUAAUCUUUCAUCCCAUUUCUUUGGGCCAAACCAGACAUGGCUGUUCCCUAAAAACCAAAACCAAACCAAAAACAGGGCCUGCCUAUCUAGUGCCUCUAUCUUCAUCACGUUCAGUAGAACCUGACCAGGAUUUUGGACACCAUAAGCUCCUUUCUCACAUGCCUUGUAAAUAAAAUAAGUGUGCAGAAGAAGGGUGACUGGCCCUACCUGUCAUGCUCCACUCUGAUUUUGCCUUGUCAAUCAUGCCCCAAUGUACACUCACUGAGUAGGAUGAGUGAAAGCAGCGCAACAUGAAGAGGAACAGAGAGCUAUUCACAUAGUUUCCAUUUAGUGGUAGUGGGAGAACUUGGGCUGAUGACCACUUAUUUAGGGUAAAGUCUAGGUUAACCCUAGUGGGACACGGGUGGUGCUGUGGUCUAAACCACUGAGCCUCUUGGGCUUGCCGAUCAGAAGGUUGGUGGUUCGAAUCCCUGCAAUGGGGUGAGCUCCCAUUGCUCGGUUCCAGCUCCUGUCAACCUGUCAGUUUGAAAGCUCACCAAAAAGUGCAAGUAGAUAAAUUGGUACUGCUGUGGUGGGAAGGUAAAUGGCAUUUCCAUGCACUGCUCUGGUUUCGGUGUUCUGUUGCACCAGAAGUGGAUUAGUCAUGCUGGCCACAUGACCCGGAAAAACUGUCGGCGGACAAACGCCAGCUCCCUCAGCCUGUAAAGUGAGAUGAGCUCCGCAACCCCAGAGUCGUCUGCGACUGGACUUAACUGUCAGGGGUCUUUUACCUUUAUCUUUACCUAGGUUAACCUUGGCAGGCUUAAUGAAAUUGUACAAGUAGAACAAUUUCCACACACACAAUGGAACUUCUCCUCCCUCACAUUUCCCUGCCUGUCCCAAAUCUGUUCCAGUGGGUUGGGCAAAACCCCAAAGAAAAUUUUUGAGGGAGAAGAGAGAAGGGAAGUUCUAUUGUGUAAGUGUAAGAUGUUCUGCUUGUAUAAUUAUUUCCUUGGAUUCAAUCCAAAUCUUUGAAACUUGACAGAGGAUUGCAUCAGUGAACACAACCAUCAGCAGCACCCCAUCAAAUUCGGUGAGUCCUUUGAAUACAUCGUUUUGCUUGUUGUUGUAAAAAAGGAAUAUCAAUACAACUCACCAUGUACAUAAGAUUUUGCAUGAGAAUCUAUACUGAGACUACUGAUAUAGUGUGAGUGUGUGGCUGGAUGGGGCAUUUGGCAGAUACAGUGGUACCUCGGGUUACAUACACUUCAGGUUACAUAUGCUUCAGGUUACAGACUCCGCUAACCCAGAAAUAGUGCUUCAGGUU